rnacentral:rRNA from 1 species
UACGGGGGGAGCAAGCGUUGUUCGGAUUUACUGGGCGUAAAGGGCGCGUAGGCGGUCAGCACAAGUCAAUUGUGAAAUCUCCGAGCUUAACUCGGAAAGGUCAACUGAAACUGUGCGACUAGAGUGCGGAAGGGGCAACUGGAAUUCUUGGUGUAGCGGUGAAAUGCGUAGAGAUCCGGAAGAACACCGGUGGCGAAGGCGGUCUGCUGGGGUGAUGCUGACACUGAUGCGCGACAGCGUGGGGAGCAAACAGG